rnacentral:rRNA from 1 species
UCGCAAUGCCCGAAAGGGUGACGAAGCGACGCCGCGUGUGGGAAGAAGGUCUUCGGGUUGUAAACCACUGUCGGGAGUUAAGAAAUGCAAGAAUGUUAAUAGCGUUUUUGCUUGACUAAGGCUCCGGAGGAAGCCACGGCUAACUCUGUGCCAGCAGCCGCGGUAAUACAGAGGCGGCAAGCGUUGUUCGGAAUUAUUGGGCGUAAAGAGCACGUAGGCGGCUGUAUAAGUCGGUUGUGAAAGCCUUCCGCUCAACGGGAGAACAGCAUCCGAUACUGUAUGGCUUGAGUGUGGGAGGGGAGAGCGGAACUUCUGGUGGAGCGGUGAAAUGCGUAGAUAUCAGAAGGAACGCCGGCGGCGAAAGCGGCUCUCUGGCCCAUAACUGACGCUGAGUGUGCGAAAGCUAGGGGAGCAAACGGGAUUAGAUACCCCGGUAGUCCUAGCCGUAAACGAUGGGCACUAAGUAGAGGGGUUUU